rnacentral:lncRNA from 1 species
UCCUCACCAACAUCCUGUCGUCGCCUUACUUCAAAGUGCAGCUCUACGAGCUCAAGACCUACCACGAGGUGGUGGACGAGAUCUACUUUAAGGAUUGACUCAGUCUUGCAGCGAGGCUCGGAGCAGCCCAGGGUCGCAGGUAGAGGUCACGCAUGUUGAGCCAUGGGAGAAGGGGAGCAGGAAAACUGCUGGCCAGACGGGGAUGUGCGGAGGGGUAAGUAGAAGUUCGAGGCGUUGGAACAGGAGGCAUUGUUUCUACGGCAUUUUGCCUCCUGUACAAAUUAUUUACCCUGAAGUUAACUCGAAAGCAAGUGAUGGGUCUCAUAACACAUACAGACUCUCCAUAUAUCAGAGCCCUUGGAUUUAUGUAUA